rnacentral:rRNA from 1 species
CCUACGGGGGGCAGCAGUCGAGAAUCAUUCACAAUGGGGGAAACCCUGAUGGUGCGACGCCGCGUGGGGGAAUGAAGGUCUUCGGAUUGUAAACCCCUGUCAUGUGGGAGCAAAUUAAAAAGAUAGUACCACAAGAGGAAGAGACGGCUAACUCUGUGCCAGCAGCCGCGGUAAUACAGAGGUCUCAAGCGUUGUUCGGAAUCACUGGGCGUAAAGGGUGCGUAGGCUGUUUCGUAAGUCGUGUGUGAAAGGCGCGGGCUCAACCCGCGGACGGCACAUGAUACUGCGAGACUAGAGUAAUGGAGGGGGAACCGGAAUUCUCGGUGUAGCAGUGAAAUGCGUAGAUAUCGAGAGGAACACUCGUGGCGAAGGCGGGUUCCUGGACAUUAACUGACGCUGAGGCACGAAGGCCAGGGGAGCGAAAGGGAUUAGAUACCCCAGUAGUC